CAGUAGCCGCGGUAAUAGGUAGGAGGCAAGCGUUGUCCGGAAUUAUUGGGCGUAAAGCGCGCGCAGGCGGUUUAAUAAGUCUAACGUGAAAGCCCACGGCUCAACCGUGGAGGGUCAUUGGAAAUUGUUAAACUUGAGUGCAGGAGGGAAAAGUGGAAUUCCUAGUGUAGCGGUGAAAUGCAUAGAGAUUAGGAGGAACACCAGUGGCGAAGGCGGCUUUUUGGCCUGUAACUGGCACUGAGGCGCGAAAGCGUGGGGAGCAAACAGGAUUAGAUACCCCCGUAGUCCCUGUCUCUUAUAC
rnacentral:rRNA from 1 species